rnacentral:rRNA from 1 species
GACAGAGGGUGCAAACGUUGUUCGGAAUUACUGGGCGUAAAGCGCGUGUAGGCGGCUCGGAAAGUCGGGUGUGAAAGCCCAGGGCUUAACCCAGGAAGUGCACUCGAAACUUCCGAGCUGGAGUCCUGGAGAGGAAGGCGGAAUUCUCGGUGUAGAGGUGAAAUUCGUAGAUAUCGAGAAGGAACACCGGUGGCGAAGGCGGCCUUCUGGACAGUGACUGACGCUGAGACGCGAAAGCGUGGGGAGCAAACAGG